rnacentral:rRNA from 1 species
UGCAAGUCGUACGCGAAAGCGGCCUUCGGGCCGCGAGUAGAGUGGCAAACGGGUGAGUAUCGCGUGGGUGACCUGCCUUCGAGUGGGGGAUAACCUUCCGAAAGGGGGGCUAAUACCGCAUAACAUCCCACCCUUGGAUGGGUGGUGAUCAAAGUCGGGGAUCUUCGGACCUGGCGCUUGAAGAGGGACCCGCGUCCGAUUAGCUUGUUGGUGGGGUAGCGGCCUACCAAGGCGACGAUCGGUAGCCGGCCUGAGAGGGCGGACGGCCACACUGGGACUGAGACACGGCCCAGACUUCUACGGGAGGCAGCAGUAAGGAAUUGUUCGCAAUGGGCGCAAGCCUGACCACGCAACGCCGCGUGGAGGACGAAUAUCUUCGGGUUGUAAACUCCUGUCAAGCGGGAAGAACAGCGUGCGGGUUAAUACCCCGUGCGCCUGACGGUACCGCUGAAGGAAGCCCCGGCUAACUCCGUGCCAGCAGCCGCGGUAAUACGGGGGGGGGCAAGCGUUGUUCGGAAUUACUGGGCGUAAAGGGCUCGUAGGCGGCCAGCCAAGUCGGACGUGAAAUCCCCCGGCUCAACCGGGGAACUGCAUCCGAUACUGGUUGGCUUGAAGCCGGGAGAGGGAUGCGGAAUUCCAGGUGUAGCGGUGAAAUGCGUAGAUAUCUGGAGGAACACCGGUGGCGAAGGCGGCAUCCUGGACCGGUCUUGACGCUGAGGAGCGAAAGCCAGGGGAGCAAACGGGAUUAAUA